GUGCUCUCUUUGGCAGCACAUAUACUAAAACGAUACAGAGAAGAUUAGCAUGGCUGCUGCGCAAGGGCAACACACAAAUUCACAAAGUGUUCUGUAUUUUA
rnacentral:snRNA from 1 species